GAGGCAUGUAGACGUGCGAGUCGAGCGAAUCGACGGGAGCUUGCUCCCUGAGAUUAGCGGCGGACGGGUGAGUAACACGUGGGCAACCUGCCUAUAAGACUGGGAUAACUUCGGGAAACCGGAGCUAAUACCGGAUACGUUCUUUUCUCGCAUGAGAGAAGAUGGAAAGACGGUUUACGCUGUCACUUAUAGAUGGGCCCGCGGCGCAUUAGCUAGUUGGUGAGGUAAUGGCUCACCAAGGCGACGAUGCGUAGCCAACCUGAGAGGGUGAUCGGCCACACUGGGACUGAGACACGGCCCAGACUCCUACGGGAGGCAGCAGUAGGGAAUCUUCCGCAAUGGACGAAAGUCUGACGGAGCAACGCCGCGUGAACGAAGAAGGCCUUCGGGUCGUAAAGUUCUGUUGUUAGGGAAGAACAAGUACCAGAGUAACUGCUGGUACCUUGACGGUACCUAACCAGAAAGCCACGGCUAACUACGUGCCAGCAGCCGCGGUAAUACGUAGGUGCAAGCGUUGUCCGGAAUUAUUGGGCGUAAAGCGCGCGCAGGUGGUUCCUUAAGUCUGAUGUGAAAGCCCACGGCUCAACCGUGGAGGGUCAUUGAAACUGGAGAACUUGAGUGCAGAAGAGAAAGUGGAUUCCAGUGUAGCGAUAAAUGCGUAGAGUUUGGAGAACACCAGUGGCGAAGCGACUUUUGGUCUGAAAUUAAACUGAGCGCGAAAGCGGGGGGGCAAACGGAUUAAUCCCCGGGUGCCCCCCCGAAAACAAGGGGCCAAGGUUAAGGGGUUCCCCCCCUUUGGGGCGGCAAAAGAAAAAAACCCCCCCCCGGGGAAUACGCCCCGGGGUUAAUCUCAAAGAAUUGGGGGCCCCCCCAAAGGGGUGAACUUUUUUUUUUUCGAACCCCGGAAAAACUUUAGGGGUUUGGAACCCUUUAAAAACCCGGGAAAGGGCUUCUCCCUUCGGGAAAAAAAAAAAAGGGGCCC
rnacentral:rRNA from 1 species